ACAUUAGUCUAUUGUUUUGCAAAAAAAAACCAAAAACCAACCUCUGAUUAGUUGUUACUUUCUGCUCUGCACAGGUAUUAGGUAUAUUUACUAUCCAACUUGUUUUCACCAUUCCAUCCUACUCCAGGAUCCUUUUCAUGUCGUGACAUCUUCCAUGGACUUUUCACUUCGUGUAUACUUCUGGAAAAAUAGCAAAUCCUCUUUGUUGACAAGUUGCUAUAAUUUAUUGGGAGGAUCUCACAGAUGGUCAAGUGGCUUCAGAUCUGUGGCAUGCGAUGAUGUCAGCAUUGUUGGAAUAGUGGCUGGAAUUGAUGGCAAAGACAGUUUAAGAGCAUAUUCCUUUCAUCUGUAAGAGUUCUAUGCACUUCAGUUUCACUCUAAACCUUAUCCACUAAGUUGUCCAAAUCAAUUGAUAAUGGAAGCAUGAUUGAAACCACAACUAAUUGACUGAAGUGAUCUUACCUUUUCAAUAACCAGUUUGACUAAAUUCCACUUGGCUUGAAAAAAAACCACAAGAGCUGUUUAGCUUUAUUAAAUGUACCGUAUACCUUAUAUGUGCAUGUAUAUACAUAUAAUUUUACAUUCUAUGUUUAUAUAUGCUUGUUUUGCUUUUUCUAUUUUUCCAUUCAUAAAGGCUUUCUAAAAAUUAAUUCUGAAUGUACAGUAUAAGUUAUAUUGUCCAGGUUUUUGUGCAUUGUGUGGGAAAACUUCACAGACUAAAUGUGGUCAUUAUAAAUAAGCAGGUAACUUGUUCGCUGCAUGAACAAUGUGUAUUUCAAAAAUAAUUUCAUAGGUAUCACCAAAGGUUAUGGACUAGAUAUACUUUGUAGUGCUCUUUAAGACAUUCUAAUUUAAUAAUUGCAUAUAUUGAACAGGACCACCCAGAGAACAACUUUUGGGAUUCUUUCCUAUUCUUUAUCACCAGUGACCUUAGGAGGCAUCUGUAUUCUUUUUCAUGUAACGAAAUAACAUGCUGUGCCUAUUGUGCAGACAUAUUGCUUCUGUCACGUGUGACAAUCUAGUCUGGGAUAUGAGAAACUAUGGACAAUAAUUUAGUAGGUACAAGAGGCAAGCCAGACAAGAAACAGGAGUGGGGGUCGUGAGAAGAAAAAAUGUCCAAGAUUCUAUCUUAAGUGGCAUACUGUGGAUACUACUUUUAGUUUUUUUAUUUAAACUGGGAACUUACUUUUAGUUUAAGAUUAUGCUUUUAUCCCAAAUAUUAAUGCCCUAAUGAUAUUUUCAAUCGCUUUCUGAAAUUUGCUUGGUUCUUGUUCCUUGAGUUCACCAGCUAUGUGAGCUUAAAAAGGGGUGCUUAUCAGUGGUGGGAUUCAAAAUUUUUUACUACCGGUUCUGUGGGUGUGGUAGGGGAAGGAUACUGUAAAAUCUCCAGUCAGAGGUGGUAUUUGCUGGUUCUCCGAACUACUCAAAAUUUCCGCUACCGGUUCUCCAGAACUGGUCAGAACCUGCUGAAUACCACCUCUGGUGCUUAUGUUUCCAGUUUCUGUUGUCUUGUGUUCUGUUUGUAUAUUUAUAUUCUGCACUGAGAAGGGGAGGGAGGGUUAGAAUGGAGCCACUGACAAUAUUUCAAGAUACUGUCCAAUUGUCUUUCCCAGAUGAAUAAAUUAGGAAAAACAAAAUUUGGAAUUCUUUUU
rnacentral:lncRNA from 1 species